UACACAGUAUGCAAAUCUGAACUUUAUCGUAAUUCUAUGGUCAUAUGAAGGGAUUUUUAAGGUUUUGUUUUGUUUCUGUUAGUUGGUGAAUACGGGGAAAGGAAAGGGCACAAGUCAGUCUUCUUUUCACAUGGACGAAUUCGAUUGAUGGAACGUCACACUUUUCAGGAGAUCAUGUCAAUGAGCCUUUCAUGAGCGCCUUUGGAAAAUAACCGCAGCCGCUCAACUUUAUAGAAGAGUUUCUUUUGCUUCACGGUUAAGACUCCAACAACAAAGUUUACUGCAGAAGCAAAAGGAAGUCUCUUACGAUAUGGCAGAAGCCGUCAUGCAGUUUGGCCACGUGAU